AAAUUAGGGAUACAUUUUUUGGGGGGAAAACUUCAAUUAAAUGCCAUCCUUGUGGUUUUACACUUUCUCACUUUAGUAUCCUAUGGUUUAAAAUGUAUUAAUUUAGUGCCAUGUGGUUUCAUUUUUAUCUUCUUAUUAUCGAUUUUACUAAUUUUUUUUUGUUAAAUCAGUGAGAAAGUUAAAACUAAAGGAUACUAAAGUGAAUAUUCAAUAAAUAUAGGUGGGGUAUCUAAAGUUUUUUGUAUAUAAUUUAACGAAAUAUUAACGGAAAAGCUGACGAAAAAAUAAAAAUGAAAUCACAGAACACUAACUUGAUAUAUUUUAAAUCACAGAGCACUAAAGUGAGAAAGUGCGACACCACAUGGGUGGUAUUUGAAGUUUACCCUUUUCUUUUUUUU
rnacentral:lncRNA from 1 species